ACCCCUAGCCUGGGAACCUCCAUGUGCUGCAGGAGCAGCCCUAGAAAAGGCAAAAAGAUUAAAAAAAAAAAAAAAAAAAAAGUUACCACUUACCAAUUAGGUUUUAUUUGAGGCAAUGAUUGCAGAGUCAGAGAAGUUGAGGGUCAACCAGGGUAGCUCAGAAAGCCUUCAGAGGGGAGACUGAUAAGAAUCUGCUGGAUGAAAUUUGUGAAGAGAAACUGAGCAUCAUUCUAAGAAGAAUGCCAGAACCGUGUUAACCGGAAAGCAGGAAGGACACUCUCAGGGGUCCCAGAAGAGAUCCUCUUUCAUGGGACAUAUGGUGGGACGUGUGGAGAAUCAGCAGGAGGGAAAACCCAUUUCCCUUCUAGAGUUAUUUCCCUUCUAACUGUGUUUGACCCAAGCUAAUUUUUUUUUUUUUUUUCUUUUGUCUUUUGUCUUUUUAGGGCCGCACCCACAGCAUAUGGAGGUUCCCAGGAUAGGGGUCUAAUCGGAGCUACAGUUGCCGCCCUACACCACAGACACAGCAACACCAGAUCCGAGCUGUGUCUGUGACCUAUACCACAGCUCACGGCAACACUGGGUCCUUAACCCACUGAGCGAGGCCAGGGAUGAACCCGUAACCUCAUGUUCCUAGUCUGAUUCAUUUCUGCUGUGCCACAAUGGGAACUCCAGACCCAAGCUAAUCUUAGCAUGAUUUUGCUGACCCCUGAGCACUCACGGUAGUCAGGCCAGGGAAGAAGUUCCAGAAACGAACUGAAGAAGAAACCUUUUCAGAACAAAAAAACAAAACUUACCAUCAACCAAAUUUUUGUGAGUAAGAGAGAGUUGGUACAAAUCCUUUGCUUCCCCAUCCUAAACAUCAAUAGGAUGCAUGUCCCACACAAAGUAAGAAUAGGUGCCCUGCAGUGAAAUUUCACAUCCAGCAGUGCUGGUUGCUUCUGGGUUUUAGUUUUUGGCGGCAGAAUCCUGAAGGACAAUUUUUUGGCAUGAACAUUUCCACAUUUCCACUGGCCCUAGUGAGAGUACCAUGCUUAUUUAUUGAGGUACUAGAAGGUUCUGAUGGUGACAGAAGGGAGGAUGCAGCAGGAGUUUGAGAAACUAGAUUUUUUUUGAAGGGUUAUAUGAGGAACAUUGGAAUGAAUAUAGGUAACAUUUCUUUUUUUUCUUUUGCAUUUUAAAGUUUUAUAGAAGUUUAGUUGAUUUACAAUGUUAUGAUAAUUUCUGCUGUACAACCAACUGAUUCAUUUAUACAUAUGCACACAUCAACACUGCAAUUAGAUAACCCUGGAAACCCAAGAUUUCUCUUCAUUCUCAUACAAGGGCAGAUCCAGGAAGAAACAAAUGUUCAAAAAAUUAAUUCCAUAAAUAUGUAUAACCCCUGUCCUCUAGCCUGGACUUACCUGUCUCAGAGAAGAGUAAUGUAUUUGUGUGAUUCCUUAUUUUGGACUUUAAAAGAAAAAUCAAUUUGCCAUCUAGAAGCACUUCUUGGAACUGUCUUGGGAAAUGGAUAGAGGGAACUGGCCCAUCACAACUAGGUCCAGGGGUUACCCAUGACCUUCAGCAUUUUGCUGGAUCUAGGGAAGACGCACUGUCAAACAACUUUUUCCUUAAUAAAGUCUCACAGAUAAUAUUGUUCCUUUGAAAAAAAGCUUUGUCUCUCAUUACCCAGGUGUCCAAAAGUGGGGGAGGGGAGCUGAGUGGUGGGUGGAGUGGAGACAACUCAAACCUAAGUGUUAAGAGGCAUGAUUCACAGAAGAUCUGUCCAAAAUGGGCAUGAAUAUCUCUGGAGCCUAUGGGUCAGUGGAUAAUAAGCAGGUUAUAAAAUAGAAAUGCUCAGAAUAAUCCUUUUCAGGAAUGAAUCUGAUGCAGAAAGCAGCAUCCUUACGCCCUGUCAGAAUCUCCAGAGUUGGGACUGACCCAGCCUUCCAGGUUCCCAUCUGCCCUGCAAAAGGGAAAUUGGCCUCAGAGCCUCCCAGCACAUUUUAUUUUCUCCCCCAUUUGUACAGGUCCCCACGGGUUUAAUGGCUUUUAUCUCACUACAUUUGUUGGAAAGAAAAGCAGCAGGAGAGGUCUUAUCCAUGGGUACCCUUUUCUUCAUUUCACAAAAUAUCCCCACCUUCCCUGCCCUCCCAACACAUAUUCGAUCUGCUUUAUUUCCUCUGUGUGGCCUCUGAAAUAGGUAGCAAAGGACAAGGAAAAAAAAAUCAAGAUUUGAGAGUUGAUAGAAUUGAGUUUGAAUCCCAUUCCAGCUGGUGAGUUUUCACUCUCUGAGCCUUUGUCUGCCAUGGAGAUUGUGAACUAGACAAUGCCUGAGGUACCUUCUAAAUUCUCAGAUUAUGUAAUGUUAAUGGAAGGAAAUGGAAAGUGUACUCAAAACCCUUCAUAAAGAUGGAGAGAGUGUAACUUUGUAAUAUUAGGCAUAAGAAAUGCACCCCUGUCUUCACGGUUUCUCUGAUGUCCAUCCACAAUCAGAUUCAAGCACAUUUCUGGUAUAAGACUACCCCCCAAACAAACAAAAAAACACUGAGUCACAUGGGAGCGGUUAAUUCCCAAGGCUUUCUUGAUAGUCACUGCCACAACUGAGUGAAUGAUAUUUGAUUUAAGGAUUGGAAGCCUUAAUUGUAAUAGUUUUUGCUUCUUGACUAUUAUGCUCAUUUGGAUUUGGGAAACAGUGUUAUAGAGCUUUAGAGCUUAAUGGAACUUUACAGGUAGAUCACUGUGUUGAGAGAAUUAGGAAAAGAGAGUUUGAAAUGGGCACCCACAGGCACCGAUUUCUUGAUCAGAAAUAUGAGGAAGAGGGUUUUAAAGCCUGAAGGGACACUGGACAUCAGCCUAAUCUAGGAGGAGGCUUUAGGUGACAAAUCCCUUGGAACGUCAUAAAGACUUGUAUUCAGAUAAGAAUAUGUGCAUUUUCUGGGAGAGCUAUAUAAAUUUCAAAAAACGCUGAGAGGGGUCCGGAAGCCUGCCAAUGUCCAUUUUUCUUAUCUCACAGGUUAGAAACCCCAAGAAAGGAAAUGUCUGGGUGCUCCCCUCAGAGCUAGGACUUGAACCCAGAUUUUUUGAAAAUAAUCUGAUGGCUUAUUCUGUUUGGGUCUUUUACAGACAACUUUAGACCAGAACUUAAAUUUGCAGUUCUUUGAAAACAUAAUUCAUUUCCUGUGAAGUGACAAAACCAGUCUAGCAAGAGAUUUUGCCAGGCUGCAACCUAUCUAGCUCCAUCACUUUCUGAACACUCCUCCAGGCUGAGAUGUUUCAGUAAAUACACAGAUGCAUGCAUACACACAUGUUCACACUUACACAUGAGCACGUACUAUUUCAUGUAUGUACUUACGGCAUCACCUCACGUGCUCUGCAAAAAGAAGGAGACACCGAUGAAAAUGGUGAAAUAUUUGUGCUGGCUGAACAAAAAAAAAAAAAAAAAACACAAAAAAAACCAAUUAUGGGUUUCCCAGACAUUAUCUUCCAUCCUCCCACUGUACUGUCAUGUGACUAUGACUGCCAUCUACCCACCUAGGGGUGGAGGACUCGUUACCAAGUAGAACUUGUAUUUUUGGAAUACAGUGUUUGCCAUGACUGUUGAAGAUUCCAACAGACCUAGGAAAUAUGGGGACAGAAAGUAAUUUUAUCUAAAGUUGCAGUUAAACCUUUGCAGUGACACUAAAUGUCAGCUCCCAUCUUUCUUCCCUCUACCACAAGGAGGAUUAAAGCAACACCAUAGCACCUGCGCUAGAUGAAGGUACAAACUGGUUGUGACUCAGUGUCUGCAAGAGUCCUCCAACCACAGUCUGUUGGUGGGGGGUCCCAAUAUGGAUGGGAAUUCAGAAGGUGGCUGGCCCAAGCGCUGGUACAGGCAGUGAGGUCAUUGUUUUUUUCAUGCUCUGUUGUCUGGUAUGGUGGCUUUUCUGAGCAAGACAGCACCCUGAUUCACUGGAGAAUAACAAAUUGAUCUUGUUCCUUACAGAAAUGAGCCUGGAGGCCCAGGUGUAUCUGACUAGUGGCCUGAGCAGCUGCUCCAUCACCAUUCCCAGGGCUUGUGGAGGUCAGGACUCUGGGAGGCAUGGAGGGUGCAGGGCAGUGUUGCCCUGGGGCUCUGGGGAGGAAACCUCUGCCUGAGCCUCUACACACAUUGCUCUUUGCCUCCAUCCCUCCACUCCUCCUUCACCAUGGCACACACAACAUACACACACACCUGCAGAAGUUAUGCCCUAUCCCAUAUCAUUUUUAGGAAUGAUAGUGGUCUCAUUCCUAAAAAUGCUUGAAUACAUUCAUUUUUUUUUUCAAAUUCAGUCAUUUUAUAUACAAGAUUCCUUUGAAUAUCUAUGGUUUGGCUAGAAUUCUGAUUGAUUUUUCAGUGCUCCUUGAUUUCUAUAGAACACAACUGAGCAAGAGGAAGUGGUCUCUUAAGCCAUUGUGAGUGAAUUAUUUUAUUAAAUGAACACUACAUUUUUCUCCCCCCAUCACUGUGUUUGAGAUAUUUUUGCACAAUGACCUGGCACAGUGUGCCAUCCACUUGAAUGGUACCCCAAAGGCUCCAUUGGUGUCCUUGGCGGACACCUAUUCCUGGACUCAGAUUGGUUGCUUCUUCUGUGGCACCAUUGAUACCUGUUCCCCAAUUGUGCCAACACCUUGAAAAUCAAAUUUCUAAACGUGAGCUGAGAUGAUUCUAACAUGUCAGCUAGAAAAUGACAAGCCAUGGGGUAGCAUUUCUAAGCAUUUAUGGUUGAAGUAGAGCCUUAGAGUGCAGGGAACACCACUCUCCAGCAGGCCUAGGCUUUCCCUGGUUUCAAGAUUGUUUUCUGCAGUAUGAAAGCCCCAUGGACCAGAAUGGUGCCAAGGUCAUUGCUUCUGUGGUAUUAACAGUAGGUGACUCUAAGAAGUCUCUUUGGGCCUCUUUCAAUGACAGAAUCAUUUUGACUGUCAGUUAUCCAUAGAGCAGGCAGCCUGUAAAAGGGGAAGAUGGCACUAAACUAUUUCUCUGGAAAAGGAGAGUCCUUUUCCACUGAUAUUCUACAUAGUCAAGCAAAACUCAAGUUCAACAGUCCACAGUGUGGCUGUUUCCUUUCAACUGAGGCAUUACCAUCGGAAGACACUGUAUGAUGACAAUGGCAGAGGACAGAAAAGCUUCUGGCUCCUACCUGGGAAGGAGAUAUGCUUUUUCCCCACCUCUUUCCUGGAGGAAACUAUCUUCACUAUCGAGAGACAAAUGCUGGACAGAGAUGGAAGGAAAGAAAGAAGCCAAGAGGUUUGCGGCUCCCCCAUAGGCCUCACAGGCUUCUGAAUUUCCUGCAAAGUGUGACAGUGUGACAGAGUCGAACGUGUGCUAGACUGAGAGUAGGAGGCCUUCUGUGAGAUCUUGGACCUCGGUGUUCCCAUCUGUAAAUGAGAAAUUGGAACCAGCUUCCCAUCUCCAUCAGGCUCUAAAUUUCUGCGACUUUGCCAAUCAUUAAAAAGGGAAACUUAACACAGCUUUGCCUUCUGAGGAAAGAGGGAGUAUGUGGGAAUGGAUCCAGUUUGAAUUCAGUAAUUAAUUUAUUCCACAAACACAUAGUCAUUCUGCAGAGAAUGCCAGACACUGUUCAGGGCUCGGCAGAUGCGGGUCUUGAGUCAUAAUCUAGGGGUCCUCUGAGAAAUGAUACCCUAAUAGACCACAUCUGUUUCUGGACAUGGGGACCCUGGUGGGUUUUCUGCUCACAGAUCAAUGUAGGGCCCCAAAUCUGCAUACAGCGGUGUUAGAAUAGUUCUGGUGGCCCUGUCUGCCAGACCAGCCUUGUAAGUCCUUUGGUCCAGUUCCUGUAUUGAGUUCUUAAACAUCCCUGAUCACGUGCUAAAUUUAACAAGUCCAAUAGCCCAGAAAUACUGUAAUGAGUAAGGACAAGGGCUCUUGCCCUCCUGAAACCCCAGCCUAAUGGGAGAUGGAGGCAGAAGGGGGCCUGUGAAUGUGACCUAUAGUUGAGGCAAGGGCGGAAAGAGUCAAGAAGGGACAUUUAUAGGGAAAGAUAGGCAGGUUAGAACAGAGAAGGUGGGCAGAGAACCUCACCUGAAAAGCAGAGGGUAGGAUCACCCAGAAGCUACUUCUUGCUUAUUUGAAUUGGGCCAAGUUCUAUAAAAAUAUACCAAGAAACUGCUUUGAGCAAAACCUGCCCUGAAUGCGAGGUGGUUGUGGAAAUGGAUGUUGCAAUGUGAAGAGAGGAGCUUUGGCCUAAAAAUCAGGACAUUUGACAGAGGCCUGACCCAAGGGCCUGUCUGAGGGCCUGUGAUGAUGCUGUGGGUGUGACCUGCUUCCUGCCCUCAGGAAUCUUGCCCUUUCCUUGGGGAGGCGCAUUAUUUAUCCAGAAUAGUGGACAUUCGAGAGAGUAGUCCAGUGUAGUCGAGGAGAAAAAUGAUGGCUUUGGCAGUAAAUUCUCUGGAUGGUCAGGAAAAUAAAGCAUUUGACCACAGAAUGAGGUAAAAAGAAAAUUACUUUGGAGCCAACAGAGACUUGAGUUUAGCUCUGCUUUACAUCUCUGGCUGAGAACAGAAAGCCGUCAAGCUUUCAUUUCCUUAUAUGUAAAGUGAGGGAUGGCCUCCUUUUCCCUUGGAGCUGCUGUGAGUUUGGGUUCUAGGGAUGUAGAUAUGGGGAGGCUCAUAGGAGCAACUGGUCUCCAGAUUGGACGAUGGUUAGGUUGCUCAGACCAUGAGUCAUUCCUUUGUCCCCAGGAGAAAAAAUUACCUCGGAGAGGUCCUAAACUAAACAUAGCAUGACCUUUCUCUGGAACUAGGACUUUUCCAAGUCAUGAAGUCCAGCCAGGCUUUGCAUCCUCACUGUCUUCAGUGAGGACUUAAUCCCACUCUGCACUCGCUCUUUGGUACAGACCUUGGGUUCAGCACUCCUGAUGGGUCUGGGUUCCAGAAGAAGAAGUUACUUGAGACCCUAGCAGUAAGGCUUCUGACUGUGUUAUUCAGCCAUGGAUCUUGCAUUUGGGUUGAGGUAGGGAGGAAGAGGCAGAGUGAUGGAGGAUGAGCAUACAUUCCCUUUCUCAGCAGGCUCGAGGUGGUGGUUGAUGUGGAGGUGGAGUUGCUGUGGGACCCAGGAGGAACUUUGGCCCAAAGGAAUCAGAAGCAAAUUGAAUAUAAGGCCAAGCCCAAGGGCCUAGUCAAAUGCAUCUGAUUCCUCAAAGUGGAAUUCAUUACAAUAAAUAGCAUGAAAGCUAUCUAUUGCAUUUCAUACAUUCAGAAUUGGCAAAACAGAGAUAAUGUCUAUGAGCUUAAAUUUAUGAUGGCAGAUCUUAGGUGGCCUGGGAAGUAGGAGCUUCUAGCAGUAAAUAGAGGCUAAAUAAAAUUCCCUUCCUGUUUAAUUGAAAGUUUGAUUAGGGAACUCAUAUGAUAAGUCCUUUAAAGUCAGAGAUCCAUGGGAGCAGAAGAGAUGGAUGCAGUCUUGCUGCAAUGUGAACUGUGGCCUCUGAUGUUGGGUAGUGCACAACCUGUGCAGCUGUACGUGGUAUUCCAGGAGAUCAGAAUCUGAACAGAUUUUUUUUAAAAAAUUGGAGUUGCUUUGAUUAUCAGAUUUGGACAGGAGGCUUUCCUGGUAGGUGAAAUAGCAUGAGUACAGGUGUAUGGAGGGAGCUGUGAACAUGAAGUGUGUGGAAUCCAGGGUCUUGAAUUCUGUUGAGCUGUCAAUUGAAAUCUCAUACAUUGUGCCAUGUUACUGCCUCUAGUAUCAGAAACAUAUUGUUGGGCAAGGAGGACUGGGUGGAAAGAUGUGGAGCUGUUGGGCCUGACACAUACUGUGCCAGGAGCUCAGUGUAGUCUUGGAUUCCUAUCUCGCCUCAGUUCAGAAAUCAAGCUACUAACUGAUGUUUACUAAGCUUUUACUAUGUGCCCAGUGCAUGUUGGGCAAUAAGGGAUAAUAAAAGAAAAUAUAGUUCCCAUCCUGAAGGAUUCAUCUCUCUCUUGAUGAGGAAACAAAAUUAGACUACACACAAUCUAACAUUAAAACCAAAUGGCAAAAUCCAUCAGGACAUUAUCACACUGUACACUUACACUUAAGGUUAAAUGUCAAUUAACAUAUAAAGAAAAAAAAAAGUAAUGUCGAAAGGCUUAUUUUUGGAACCCCAGCCCCAAGAAAAUGACCAAAACAAAUGGUAGGGAUAGAGGGCCUUCUUCCUUCAUCUGUGACGUGACAGGCUUGAAAGCAGUGAUCCUGGGGGACCCUCCCAGCCCUCUAUCAUGAGUCUGUGUCUAAUAGAGCUUUCCUGAUUCCAAAUGCAUACAUAUUCUGUAACACCAGGCUGUUUCUUUGGCUGAACAAAGGUGAUUUGAUUCCCCAAAUCGACAAACAAAUUAGAGAAACAGGAGAGAGAGAGCCUGGGAAACCAGGGACAGAAGAUGAGAGAAGAGGCCUGGCGGGGGGGUAGGGGUAGGAGGGGCUCCCAGGGAGUUUUCUACAAAAGCCAGAGGGGGCAGGCAGGGGAAUUUCAGUCUCCACUGGCCUUUUUCUUUCUGUGGCGUCGUCAUCUGCCUGGGAAUCUGCUAAUGGGUGGGAGGGGGGGUUAGGGCAGACCCCGGAGCAAGGAGAGAAAGGCAGGGUCUCCAUAGCAGGUGCAAGCAAAGCUACAAUGCAAAUACUCAGGAAGGAUCCGGGGGCCUGCUGGAGGGGCAGUUGUGAAGACUGUCCUGGGAAAAUACUGAGAGAGGUCGGCAGCUGGCUGAAGGGUGAAGAUGCUUAGAGGGGGGAGGGAGGGAACCCUCAGGGGUGAGGGCAUGGCACAGUGCGGGAAGUGGGGUUGUUGGGGAGGUUGGCCAGAGCUGGGAAGUAGCCAGUGGUGCGUUUUGUAUCUCAGUGCCUGCCUUUACUAGAAGGGACAUUUCCUGUUGAUGUCCAGUUACUAAGACAGGACACAAGCCCCUUCUCUGAACAUGUGGGCAUCUGAAAGAGAAGAGGUACAAAUUCUCUAGGACUGGGUCCUUAGCUGUCUGCUUUUAUAACUUUUUAGGCCCAUGUUCAGUGGAAUGGGACACCUCACAUUACCCCCUCCUUUAAAUUUCUGUUCUUCCAGAUCCAGUUUUUACAAAGAAGCACUUAGAAUUUUUUUUUUAAUUCCUUUCAAACUUCUCACUUUCCUUAGCUUCUUUCCUCUUUCAUGGGUCUUUUCACCUCGUUCUGACCCAGAAUACUGUGUGUCCUGAUCUUUGUUGAAAAGAAUGCACUAAACAUGGAUCCAGCCACCGAUUUAAGGAAAUGGAUGUUCUUCUGGGCUUGUUCUCUUUGGGAUCAGAUGAUAAUAUUGCCCCCGAGUUAAAUCCAGACAGAUCCAGAACCUCCGGGUUUAUCUCGUUCAUCCCCUCAGUUGACAGGAAACAGAUCUGCACAGCAGCACCAGCCCCGCUGUAUCAUUGAGGGUGAACCAAGAGGCCAUGGAUCCAGAUGACUUCAUGUUGGAAUGAAGGUAGAACUAAAGCAUUUACUAAGAAAGUUUACUGAGAGUGCAGCCUGCUAACAGAGAUGCUCUACUUGAAGGCUGCAGCCUUACUUAUAUUCCAGACCAGCCCCUUUACCAGACAACCACAGCCCAUACUGGGCAAGUACCUUUCCCAGAAUCACAUGGCUAAGUACUGGGGCUUCAGAAAUGUAUCAUCCAGUCUUUGCUUUUGUCCAUUAGACUUUCCUAUGCAGAACUCAGGCAAAGAAUCUGGCCAAAUAAUGCACAUUGCACCUGAGGGUUAUACCUUAGUUGGAGGUGGUGGUGGCUGUGAACAGUCUUUAAAAUCAGAGAAUCUUCUUGCUCUGGGAUGAACACGGGUCACAGUCAAUCCAGGAGAUGCACUACCGGUGGCCACGCCUCUCAGGCAGAAGUCAGGACAUGUGUGUCUUCCUGGGGACAACAGCCAAUCAGAUCAUGUGACCUGAGAAAGUGGACCGUCUUGAGAAAUCUGAGUCUUAGUGGUUCUUGGAAAUAUACACCCUUUCAGAGUAUCUUGGAAUCUUCCAAGAAUAGAUGGAUUAUUUUAUAUGGCAAGUGUUUUGUUAUACAUUUGCCAUUUGGCUUGAAUGUUGUUUUACCCAGGUGUUUUUGGCCACUCAUCAUUGGUGUUAGGUUUCAUAAAUUAUCACAUUUAAUUCUCUUUUGCAGUAAAAUUAAUUGAAUUCCUAAAAGAGUAUAAACAUCUGGGAAGUGGUAAAUGGGAGUCAAGCCUUUGUCUUUCUAACUCUUCAUUCGCACUCUUUUGUUAGUCUAUGGUUGUCUUUUGAGAAGCAAAAUUAUUUUAGUAUAGCGAUAUUACAGAGUUUCUUAUGAAAAAGGAAUGUAUUCUGGUGGGGAUUCAGAGGAUCAUAAAAUCACUGAACCUUAAAAAAAAGAAGGACUUCAGAAUAUGUUGAUCUCAACCUCCUUGUUUUUCAGAUGAGGAAGUGAGGCAGGAGCUGGGCAGUCACUUUGGCCAAGGUCAGGAGGCAUUGAACCAAGACUCCCAGAGGAGUGAGCUCUCAACUCUGAUGCACGGAUUCCUUAGGUUUCAAACCAGUGACCAUGGUCUUUGGGGUAGUAACCAAAGGUUGUCAAGGUCACACGUGCCCUUAAUGGGCUUUGUUUAGAAUCUUAACCCCUACUCCUAUCCCCCAGUCAUAAGUAGCCACUUGUAAGAGGAUUGAAAUCACACCUGCCUACCUUUUGCCAAGUUAAAGGUGCGUACAGAGAACUCAGUGACAUGAACUACUCUGCUUCCUUGAUAUGCGUUAUCUUCACAAAGACAUUUUGAGAUUUAUUUUCAUGAAAAGAAAAGAAACACAGAUGCACACACAUAGUUUCAUUAGCCUAACAAAAUUGUGUUCAGUUGUUAGAAUGUGCCCGUCCACCUUCAAUCUCUGAAAAACACUGUGGUGUUCUAAUCAUUGAUUAUAUCUGUUUGCAUUUGCUUUCAGUUAACAUUGUCACAAAUACUUUCCCAUGUUUCUUAGUGAUUUUAAUGAGCAGAUAAUAUUUCCAUAGAGUGUAUAUAUGUGUGCGUGAAUAUGUAUGUGUGCAUAUGCAAUGUAUUUUAAUAGUCCGCUGUUACUGGAUUUUGAAAGCAGUAGAGCAAUUUCUAUGCAGCUUUUUAUUUCUGGGAUUGUUUCAUUGUGGGAAUAGACUUAGCUUUUUUGCUUAGUAUAUGCGUCUUGUUGAUUUUCAAAAGACAAAUCAAAAUGCCACCUUUAGGUGGGGGUGAGUGAUCACGUGGUUUCCUUGAGCAGUGGUACCAAGCACCAGAUGUACCCCCCAUCCCCUCUCUCAUGAGAACUUUUAAAUGCUUCCUUGCUACUCCAUCAGCUCAGAGUGUGGGUGUGCUUCUUCCUCCCCAUCCUUCCUCUACAAAGCAUUGGAUCUUUUCUUUUUAUAGUAAGUCUUACUGUAUGUGAUUGCUUCAGUGCAGACAGUCACACGUUUGGAAGUAGACGGAGGUGCAGACAGAAGUGGAAGCUCUGUCUUUCACUUUAUCUGUACAACCUCUUGAAUGUGGGCAGAGAGCACCCCUGUGUUACAGCAAGAACUAGGUCCCCAGAGGUCAACAGUCUGCUUAAGGGGCCAUGGCAGGAGCUGAAGUGGGACUCACACCAAGAACCUUGUCCUGGGAACCCAGUGUUUUUCCGCGGCACCUUAAUGAAGCUGUUUUUGUGUUCACACUGAGGCCACAUGUGGGGCAACUGUCUUUGGCUCAGGUGAUAAUACUGUUCUUGGGUUAAAGUAUAGCCAACAGGCAGCAGGUAGAUACUUAGGAUUUCCAUUGAGAAUGAUUCUUCUAGAAUGGAGUAGGAUUGCUUGCAACCUAAAUGUUCCUCCAUGGGAAUAAGACAAAUUACAGGGAUCCCCAAGCAGCAGAAAAAGGUUAGGGCACAGAAACUCAUUCUUUGACAAAAAAGACUGCUCUUGGUAUAUGUGUCUCUCACUGCUGCUGGUGGAUUGAGCAGCCACCUGGAAGCUGUACCAGGCCUGCCAGUCCAGGGGCUUAAGGAGGCUGGCUGGCUCAUGGGGGAGUGGCAUUAUUCGCUGGCCACUCUUUCUGGCCUGCUCAGCAGGAGGACAUUCCUCACCAGGCCAGCCCAGGCUGGGCUCAGAGCCACCCAGCUCAGCGCCACGUGGCGGGCGGGCUGUAACAUGGCUGUAGCUUGGGUUUUGGAGCCCAAGCUCAACCUACAGCCUAGUGGUUUUCCUAUUUCAGGGCUUUAGUCUCUUUUUCAAUCACACGAGAUAACUGAGAAUUAUUAACAUAUCAGAGGAGGAGCCUAUAAGGCAGUGAAAGGUAUCGCCCCCUUAAUUUCUUAAUUCUUGCACAUUCUGAUGGGGUACAUUCCUGGCCACCAAACUCAGAAAGUUCUGACACCUGCUCACCCUCUAUCUGGCCUAGAACUGUGAGGUCCGGUGGGGUGUGUGUGCCUCUGUUCUAAGUGAGGAAUGGAAUGGAGGGGUCUGCAGGGGUGAAACUCAGGCUCAGGUAAAAACCCUUUACAAGCUCUGCACACACAGGGUACAGUUUCAGGGAAACUUCUAUGAUGUUUGGGGGAAAAUAGCACAGCCGUAGAAGCUCUGCUGUCUCUUGUCCUUUGCAUACCAUUUGGAAUGUCAACCCUCUGUGCAGGCACUGAGAGCGUAGAGGUGGAAUGGCCAGGACUCCAAGGCAGGCAGAGGCCACCUCUGAGUCACUUGCAGCAGAGAGCCCUGGGGCCAGCACAGGGCCUGGCACAUGGUCACCACUCACUUAAUACUCAUCUCAAGGCCUGACUGAAGAUACAGCCCCUGAUUGCAAGAAGCUCACAAUUUAGCGCAAAAGGCGGGUGGGUAAUCACAAUGCCAACGUGAUAGAAAUGUAUACAUGGUAACCUGGAGCCAUCAAAUAACAUUUCCUUUCACUGAAGUAAGAGGAUUAUAAUUUCUUAUUUGCAGGUCAGGAUUCUGCUUCCCACCGGAUGUCCAAAGAGAUAUAUUGCUUCCCACAAAGAUAUAUUGACUCUGGAAACAGUCUGUGUUGGUGGAAAGUAGUCUGGGUUGGGAAUAGGGAAACCUGUGUUCCAGACUUCACUGGCUGAAUGGCCUCAGGCAAAAUCUCUUUGUGCUACAAUUGUUUUCCUGUAUAAAAAUCAGAACAUUAACUCCUUCCCUGCCUGCCUCCCAGCAAGGCAUUGCUUAACAGCCUCUACUGGCUCCCAGGAUAAAAAUCCCAACUCUGCAAGGCCUAAUCCAAACUCUUCAAUCUAACCCAUCUCUCUUUCCACUGAACCUGGUGUUUUGGGCACGGCCGCCUCCUGAGUUUCCUCACUUUCUUUAUCCUUCUCCAUCCUGGUGCAGUGCUCCUUCUGCCUAGAGCAAGCUUUCAAAAUUGGCCUGUCCUGAGACUAUCCAAGCUCAAACAUCAGCCUUUUCUGGGAGUAGAAGAGUUGUCCCCUUUCCUGUGGCUGGUUCCAUGCUCCUUUACAUAUCCUUCUAGCAGACAUUGGCCCCAUUUCAUUUUUCCUAUUCCUGGAACUGUCUGUCUUCUUCCCUGCUUUCUGAGAAGCUUUUGAUCACUCCUUCCCAUUCUCCUCUUCCUGACAUACAGCUCAAUAUUAAAUAAAAAUGCAUUGAAAUAGACUCACUCAUUGGCAUCUCAGUCUCGUAGGCAGAGAAGGACCAGGGUGGAAGUGACAAAGCAGCAGAUUUCAGUUGUGUGUUCAGUCUCUUCAGAAUCAGAGCUGGUUAGCCAGGGCAUGGAUCCCCUUGGUGUUUGGGGGGGAUUUGUGUGCUGUUCGUUGCUAUGAUCGCCUGGCUUGGGGAGCCAUACCCCACAUCUGUAGCAGCCUAGCUCCUUUUGGAGUGGCUCUGUGUAGAGCAGAAAGGCGGAAGAGACUAUGGUUCCCUGGAGCCACUGUCCAAAGAAUAUCCUCUCUUUUGAGUAAAUUCCUACGUAUUGCUCCCCUUAUUCCUUUGAUUUUCUCAUGAGUGUUCAAUCACUGUUUGUUGAUUGAGUAACUGCAUUUAUUAGUACACCAGUGACUUCUGUUCUAGUUGGAGUAUGACUGAUUUGGGGAGGCAGUUUACUUUCUCCAUCUGUGACCCUUUGUUUGACCCAGCAACCCCAGACUUCUCUUGGGAAGUGUGGGAAGAGAGUUAUUUAAGCUCCAGCUAUCUAACUUCAGUUCCUUCAUCACCACGCAAUCUAGGUAACACCUGGGAAAUGAGGACUUCCUGAGCAUUAGAAGCAUGUUGUCUUCCCUUCCAUGUCCUUUAGCACAUCAUCUUAGCAUCGAACAGCAUCUUGUACAUAUUCAACAAUUUAAAUCUGCCUUCUAAAAUUAUUGUCAGUUGAGGAGCUCCCACUGUGACUUACUGGAAACAAAUCUGACUAGUAUCCAUGAGGAAGCAGGUUUGAUCCCUGGACUCGCUCAGUGGGUUAAGGAUCUGGUGUUGCCAUGAGUUGUGGUGUAGGUCACAGAUGCGGCUCAAUCUGGUGUUGCUGCAGCUGUGGCAUAAGCCAGUGGCUAUAGCUCUGAUUGGACCCUACUGGGAACCUCGAUAUGCUGCGCUGUGGCCCUAAAAUAAAAAAGACAAUAAAAUUAUUGUCAGUUAUAUUUAACCACUGACUAGCAAACAAGUAGCAGUCAAAAUGUGUAACGGAGAGCAAAGGGUUUUUUUCAGUUCUUCAGCUUUUCAUCCCAAAUUUCCUUUCAGAAGUACCACCUGCCAUGGACAAGGUAUUGAGGGUAAAGAUUGGGAUGCUAUAAUUCAGUUCUGUGUUUGCAACCUAGGUCUACACCACUGCUCUGCACCCAGCCUCCCGCUCCUCCUGACCCAAUGAAGAGGUUGUAGCUAUCAGCCUGAAGAACUGAACCUCAGCUCGCCCUUAUAGUAGCUCCAUCUAGCAACUGUGCCCUCUUGGUAUAAUGCACAGUAAGGGCUUGUUCAUUUUUGAGAGCCUAGGUCUGAUUGAGAUGUCCCUAAUGGUUCCUUCCCUCAGGAACAUGUAUGCAUGUGACUUGAAGUCACCAACAAUAGUUUUCAGCUUGGGUAUAGAAAGAAAAGACAAUCUACCUUUGCCUUAUGCAUUAUUCAUUAGAUAGUGCUGCCUACACAAAAUAUCAAGCAGACUAUAAAUCCCAGAGUAGAUAUUGGUUACUUGGAAGCUGUUAGCAUUUAAUAGGCUAAAAAGAAAUAAAUAUCCCUGGGUUUGUUUCCUUGCAGUUGAUAUUAAUGAAAGAGAUACAUGCUUCCAUCCAUCUGAGAAAACCUACCAAAAGCCAAUGAUAGCUUUUCCUUCUCUGUUCUAGCAGUAGUAAUUAUAUUUUAAGAAAAUAAAUAAAUCAAGAACCUUUUAUUCAGCAAGACAUAGAUGGCAUUUAUUUUUUAUAUCUAGUUUUAUCCUUUGGUACUGAGGACAUUUGCUGUGGGAUGAGAACUCACAUCCAUUAAACCCCAUGAGUUGGGAACUUUAGUACCACACGCUGAUGGAAACGCAUUCUGAAUCCAGCAGCAGCAAGGCAGCACUACUACCUGAGGAGUCAUUCCCAGGUCGUCAGAGUUCAAACUUCGCUGCCAAGCAAACUCUUUGCUUUUGAGACCAAGAGCUUUUGUGCCAAAGAGAAUGAAGAAUUAAUCUUUAUUAGCCAAAGUGACAAGGAAAUAGAAGGGAAGAUAACAAAUGCUAGAACCAAGAAUAUCUUUGAGACUAAUCCUCUUGAUUCACAAAUAAAUGAUUUGACUUUUCCUUUCAUCAGACUGCUUCAUUGUGGUAAGUUCUUGAGGUGAGCAAUGCAGUGAAGAUCAUUUAGGCAUGGGAUUAGUAGAAUUUAAGAGAAAAAAUAAGAUUAGAUGACUUCUUAGUGUCAUCACACUUCUUAGUGUCAGCACAUUGGCUUAAUAGCAACCAUGAUAAUAAUCCCAGAUGGCUGAGAGGAUGACUCCCCAGUGUCCUGACAGGAGGCAUUACUCAUUCUCACCCUAAACUCCAUCCAGGUUCCUCCCUUCUCUCCUGCCUGAAUCUUAAGACCAGUUAUGGUGCUUUGGGAGAUGACAGGUGGGGGAUGGAUGGCAAGAGCAUGAAUCUUAAGCCUGCAGCUCCCUUCUGUUCUUGGCUCCUCUCCAGAGUUCACCCAUCCUUCAGUGCCCAGCCCAAACCUUUCUUCCCUUUAGCCUGCCUUCCAGAGCCUCCUGCCUCAGAGAGCUGGGUGCACAUCUUCUCUAGAACCCUCUUCCCUACCACCUGCUCAUUUGCUGCACGUAACAUCACAUGUAGAAUUUUGUAUGAUUUACCUAUGCAACUAUUUACUGUGGCACAUCUGUCUUCCUAGAUUCUGUCCUUCCUAAGAUAAAGGUAUCUAAUAACAUCUGUUUCUAGUUUUAAUAAACUGCCCCACUAGCCCAGUACCUACCUAAAGUAGGUGCUCCACAGCUAUUUGUUGAUGGAUUUCUUGAUUGCUGUUCUAUACUUCUGAGAGUCUAGCAUAAUAUUUUGAUGGAUAUGUCUUUUCCUUUUCUGAAGGACCCAUUAACUAUUUAACACUAGCAAACUGUUUUUCUAAAUGACAGAUUAUAACUUUUGGCUGUUUCCUCUCCUCCUUUUUCUUUUCCCCAGGUAUUGCCUUUUUAAGAUAGUUGGGAAAAAAAAAAAAAAAAAAGAAGAAGAAGAAGAAGUGGGUGGGGGAGAAGCAGGGGGAAGGAAGUGGCUAGGGAAGCAGAUAAGACAUGAGGUAGAUAACUAUAAAAGUAGGUGAGGACCCAAGCCCCAGGACAGGGAGAUAAAGGAGCCAGAAGGGUCUUGGUCUUGGUGCUGCCAUGGAGACCGCACUGUGCCUCUCUUCUACUUACUUGCAUCUGCUGCCUCCCAGCAACUCUCUUAGGAAAGAGGGGUGCAAACUCGCAAAUACAAUGCUCUCUAAGUCAGAUAGAGUUAGGUUUUUUUUUUCACUUCUAUUCUGGAACUUGCCCUGUCUUAUCUGCUCUGUCCCCAGGUGUGGACAUUAAAGCAAGUUGUGUUAGAUUAUGGAGACACCCUGGGAUAGGCUUCCAUACUGGUUGUUUAUUUAUCAGGGCUUUAUAUCUUAUCUGUUUCCAGAGGCAUUUCAGAGGUUUAUAUGCAUAAUAAAAAAUCAACAAUUAUGAGAAAAGCAAAGGGGAGUGGGAGCUACCUGGCUCCUUCAGGAUUCUGAUCAUCUACACUGGGGACUGACAUGGGCUGUAAGUUUGCUGGGGGCUACAAGGAAAAAGGACCAUUUUCUUUAACAGAAGGCAGGGAAUUACCUGCAGAAUAUUUCUGAAAUUAUCUUUAAACAGGAGUUGUCUCUUAUACAGUAGACAGUAUUUUCAAGUGUGGUUUUAAAAAUGACAAAAACCCUCAUCAAGCAGAUGGCUUUCAAACUGACCCUCUUGAAAUGUAGAGGAUGCAUGAUUGAAUUGGAAUUUCAAGAAAACAUUUCCAAGGUAAAAUGAGAUAAUAUGGUUCAUCAACUUUGGGGCAACCCUCACCUGACCCAUUUAUCCCAAGACAGUCAUGAAAAGAAAGGAGAAAAACUAAUUUCCUGAGAGAUGCAGAUUUACUGGAUGGUGCCAAUGCUAAUAAUAGAAAUAAUAAUAAUGGCCUUGCCUUUGUUAGGAGCCCCUCAUUCGGUCUGUCUGUGAUUUCUCAAAGUUACUGAAGUGACAGAGUAGAAAAAGUAUGGGUCUUGGGCUCUCAGGACCCAAGCCCAGCUCACAGCACUGCUUUGUAUUAGCCAUGUGAUCUAGGACCAGGGAAUUCCAGGCUUUGGGCCUCAGUUUCCCCAUCUGGUAGUAAGGCAUGCCUUGCCUACCACCUUGUUGUUCUAAGGAUUAAGUGGAAUUGUGAAUGAGCAAACAAGUAGCAUAAUAUCUGAGAUUUAGUAGGUGCUCAAAAAUUGUUAGUUAAAUAUUUGUGUACCAGAAUGUGGUUGCAAAUGUGAUGUCUUCUCUCAAGGAAUUUCUAGGGGCAUAGAGUUCAAAAGGAGAGUUCAAGGGGAUUUUCACUGUUUCAAAAUAUACUUGGUCCUUUGGAUUCUCCAUGUGCUUGCCUUUCUUACUAGGGCCAAAAAAAAAGGUGGUGACGAAGGUAUGGAAAGACCCCUCACACCCCUCCCCACCCUCUCUCUCCCUGCUCUGGGCCCUCUCACAAAGGCUCACCCCAUUCGGCUCUCUGGUUGCUUUGUACCUGUUGGGCCUGCCCCCAUCCAGGGCCCCUUUUGGCCUUUCUUUUUUCCUCUCUCAAAAGACCCCAAGGGGGUCCCAGGGCCCAGUGGCUGGGCUCCCAGGUCGCCUCACAGAGGCUGUGCUGUCCAAUAGAAAGGCAUGUGGAGUCCCAGGGUGAGAGAGAGGAGGACAUUAUCAAUCACGAGCUGUGAAAAGCCAGGAGGGAGAGGGCGAGCCAGCCAGAGCAGGGAGGACUGAAUUGAAGUGGAGGUUUUUUUUUUUUUUUUCCCCUGUUCCUGUUGUUGUCGUUGUUGAAGGGAGCGUUCUUGGACAUCUGCCCAGACACAUGCUGAGUUAAAGAAGCAGCAGGAUAAAUUCUUAAAGAAUGAAUUGGGAGAGGGGAAGGAGCUGGGGGUGGGGAGCAGUAGUGAAAAGGAACCAGGGAAUGAUUCCAACCCCCAGACAAAGGAGGCCCCUGCAGAUCAGCCCAGCCCCAGCCCGGCCUUUCUGUGGUUCAAAUAUUGGUUUGUUUAGCACAUAAUCCAGGAAUACCAGUGCCCCCUAAUAACUGCUUUGGGCCCCCAUGGGGGCCAAUGAGAGAAACUACAAUUUCUUGAGCUUUCUUCUUUGCGUCCAGUGCAGGCUGAGAAUGCUUCUGGGGAGCAUCUAUCCUUCACUUCAGUGGCCCCAGAGAUGCUUACUGACGAGACACAGCUAAUGCUAUGGGAAGAGUGGUGACGUCAGCAUGGCACUCACCAUCAGUGAUGGCAUGUUCUCUUGGUGACAAAUAUCUUUUUCUUUUUAAAGAUAAGAAAUUGAUAAAAAGCUCUUCUUCUUUGGGAAUCUGUGGUAGGAAGUCUUUCUAAUUAAAGAACCCCCUGUGUAGUUUGCAAUCAGAAAAACAAAAGACCUUGUGAUAGUGAUGGGACAACUAGAUUCUAACUCUAGCAACCCCCGCACUCUCCACCCCGCCUGCCGUAACUCACUGGACUGGAACUGCCCAUAGAAAGGUCAAUAGAGAUGCACUUGCAUUUUCUUGUUUAUUGUCUUUGCAAUGAAAUUCCCCCAUAGGAAUUAUGUUGCCCACUGCUUCCAGACUGAUCAGACUAGACUUCCAAAUAGAAUAAAUGGUGAGCAUCGAGCAGCCAGAGCCCACGAUAGCUCAUUUACUCAUUUUUGUUGUUGUUGUUGUUGCAACACAUAUAUAUCUCAACUAUCCAGUAUUCAUUAAGAGCCACUUGUGGCCUGGCCCUAUGUUAGGGUUGGGGAGAUACAGGUAUAUUGGGUCCUUAGCCUGGCCAAUCAAACCAUAGAUGGCCAGCAUUUUCAGCAAGACUUAACUAGUUUGCUCUUCCUAGAUGAAUAGGUUCAUGCCACAAAAAGUAACUGCAUAAUUUAUAGGGACCAUGGGGGAACCAGCAUUAUAGUCACAAUAUAAAAAAUCUAAGUGAAUGGCAGCUCCUUGAGUUGAGCGUUAUACACUCUUUGUGUCCUAUUUGUUAACCCUAAGCCUCCAACUGGCUCCUCCAUGAGUACACAGACUCUCCAGUUCAGUAGGUAGGAAAUGGAGAGAGGAAGAACACUGAAAAUUCAGCAAAGCAAUGCAAAUUCAAUGCUUGUCUCACUUAUAACCUUUUAUUAAUGGUUUCAGAUGAAGAGGGAUGGUCAUGCUCCCAUCCAAAGCAUGAAAAGGACCACAGGGGGAUCCACAGUUGGGAAGUUCCAUUAUGCUGAAAUAUGGUGAGCAGGUUACCUGUGGCCUUGUCGCAAGGCAAUGUAAACAAUAGGACUCAAAGUCUGAGAGCUGCUACAAGUCCUAACUUGUCCAGUCCAGCAUUGGUUCCUGAACCAUAAGUCGUCAUCAGUGUAGUAGAUGAAAGUUCAGAUGCCACCAAACUGCAUGUCUCUUUGAAUAUGGCGAUUUCAGGGGCAGCUGAGGGGAUGAUCCAUUCUGAUUUGUUUUCAGUCCUUUUGAAAAUUAUUUCAUAAGCAUUGGCUCUCUUUCCUGUUCUGUAUAAGAUGAAGGGUUGGACUGAAAGGGCAUAGAUGGAAGGAGGAGAAGAGAAAGUGAGAAAGAGAGGGAGCCUCACUGACUUGGGCUUCACCUCUGCAGAGUUGCUAUGAAUUGAAUUGUGUCACAAAAUUCAUAUAUCAGAAGCCCUAUCUUCUGAUAUAACUACAUUUGGG